UACAGAGGUCUCAAGCGUUGUUCGGAUUCAUUGGGCGUAAAGCGCGCGUAGGCGGCCCCGUAAGUCCGCUGUGAAAGUCAAAGGCUCAACCUUUGAAAGCCGGUGGAUACUGUGGGGCUAGAGUCCGGAAGAGGCGAGUGGAAUUCCUGGUGUAGCGGUGGAAUGCGCAGAUAUCAGGAGGAACACCAAUAGCGAAGGCAGCUCGCUGGGACGGUACUGACGCUAAGGCGCGAAAGCGUGGGGAGCGAACAGG
rnacentral:rRNA from 1 species